rnacentral:rRNA from 1 species
UACGGAGGGUGCAAGCGUUAUCCGGAUUCACUGGGUUUAAAGGGUGCGUAGGUGGAUUGAUAAGUCAGUGGUGAAAUCCCCGAGCUUAACUUGGGAACUGCCAUUGAUACUAUUGAUCUUGAAUACCGUGGAGGUCAGCGGAAUAUGUCAUGUAGCGGUGAAAUGCUUAGAUAUGACAUAGAACACCAAUUGCGAAGGCAGCUGGCUACGCGAAUAUUGACACUGAUGCACGAAAGCGUGGGGAUCAAACAGG